GACGAACGCUUGCGGCGUGCUUAACACAUGCAAGUCGAACGGAAAGGCCCUGCUUUUGUGGGGUGCUCGAGUGGCGAACGGGUGAGUAACACGUGAGUAACCUGCCCUUGACUUUGGGAUAACUUCAGGAAACUGGGGCUAAUACCGGAUAGGAGCUCCUGCUGCAUGGUGGGGGUUGGAAAGUUUCGGCGGUUGGGGAUGGACUCGCGGCUUAUCAGCUUGUUGGUGGGGUAGUGGCUUACCAAGGCUUUGACGGGUAGCCGGCCUGAGAGGGUGACCGGCCACAUUGGGACUGAGAUACGGCCCAGACUCCUACGGGAGGCAGCAGUGGGGAAUAUUGCACAAUGGGCGGAAGCCUGAUGCAGCAACGCCGCGUGCGGGGUGACGGCCUUCGGGUUGUAAACCGCUUUCGCCUGUGACGAAGCGUGAGUGACGGUAAUGGGUAAAGAAGCACCGGCUAACUACGUGCCAGCAGCCGCGGUGAUACGUAGGGUGCGAGCGUUGUCCGGAUUUAUUGGGCGUAAAGGGCUCGUAGGUGGUUGAUCGCGUCGGAAGUGUAAUCUUGGGGCUUAACCCUGAGCGUGCUUUCGAUACGGGUUGACUUGAGGAAGGUAGGGGAGAAUGGAAUUCCUGGUGGAGCGGUGGAAUGCGCAGAUAUCAGGAGGAACACCAGUGGCGAAGGCGGUUCUCUGGGCCUUUCCUGACGCUGAGGAGCGAAAGCGUGGGGAGCGAACAGGCUUAGAUACCCUGGUAGUCCACGCUGUAAACGGUGGGUACUAGGUGUGGGGUCCAUUCCACGGGUUCCGUGCCGUAGCUAACGCUUUAAGUACCCCGCCUGGGGAGUACGGCCGCAAGGCUAAAACUCAAAGGAAUUGACGGGGCCCCGCACAAGCGGCGGAGCAUGCGGAUUAAUUCGAUGCAACGCGUAGAACCUUACCUGGGUUUGACAUGGAUCGGGAGUGCUCAGAGAUGGGUGUGCCUCUUUUGGGGUCGGUUCACAGGUGGUGCAUGCCUGUCGUCAGCUCGUGUCGUGAGAUGUUGGGUUAAGUCCCGCAACGAGCGCAACCCUUGUUCACUGUUGCCAGCACGUUAUGGUGGGGACUCAGUGGAGACCGCCGGGGUCAACUCGGAGGAAGGUGGGGAUGACGUCAAGUCCUCAUGCCCCUUAUGUCCAGGGCUUCACGCAUGCUACAAUGGCUGGUACAGAGAGUGGCGAGCCUGUGAGGGUGAGCGAAUCUCGGAAAGCCGGUCUCAGUUCGGAUUGGGGUCUGCAACUCGACCUCAUGAAGUCGGAGUCGCUAGUAAUCGCAGAUCAGCAACGCUGCGGUGAAUACGUUCCCGGG
rnacentral:rRNA from 1 species